rnacentral:lncRNA from 1 species
AAAAAAUUAUCCGGCCGGGAGUGAUGGCUCACGCCUGUAAUCCCAGCACUUUGGGAGGCCGAGGCAGGUGGAUCACAAGGUCAGGAGAUCGAGACCAUCCUGGCUAACGCAGUGAAACCCUGUCUCUACUAAAAAAUAGAAAAAAAUUAGCCAGGCGUGGUGGCGGGCGCCUGUAGUCCCAGCUACUUGGGAGGCUGAGGCAGGAGAAUAGCGUGAAGCUGAGGUGGGUGGAUCACGACGUCAGGAGUUCAAGACCAGCCUGGCCAAGAUGCUGAAACCCCGUCUCUACUAAAUGUACAAAAAUUAGCUGGGCAUUGUGGCACGCGCCUGUAAUCCCAGCUACUUCGGAGGCUGAGGCAGGAGAAUCGCUUAAACUAUCCUAGUAGGUGUAUAUUGGAACCUGUUUGUGCUUUUCACUUGCAUUUCCCUAAUGACUAAUGAUGCCAAGCAGCUUUUCCUCUGCUGGG